CUUACCCUGUUCUUGGGAACAUUUUACCUUUUAACAGCGUUAACAGCUGACACAUCAGCACAUCCUCAUAACUCAUUCUGCACUUUUGUGGUUGUUAUUUAGGAGAUCUAUUCAUACAUUUAAAGUUGAAAAAACCCUGAGGAAGGAGGCCUAUUGCCACAAGGAAGCUCUCAUAUGGCAGCAUUUCUUAGUGAUACCAAAGAGAAAGGACCUCCAGUGCAGGCUCAUACCCUACGGGAGUUCGAAGAG